rnacentral:tRNA from 2 species
AAAGUUUUAUUAUAAUUUAGUAUUUAUUAUUGUCUGUAAUAUGGUUGAAACUUUA